rnacentral:rRNA from 1 species
GACGUAGGGGGCCAGCGUUGUUCGGAAUUACUGGGUGUAAAGGGUUCGUAGGCGGUGCGGCAAGUCGGGAGUGAAAUCUCUGGGCUUAACCCAGAGGCUGCUUCCGAAACUGCUGUGCUUGAGUGUGGGAGAGGCGCGUGGAAUUGCAGGUGUAGCGGUGAAAUGCGUAGAUAUCUGCAGGAACACCCGUGGCGAAAGCGGCGCGCUGGACCUCAACUGACGCUGAAUGACGAAAGCGAGGGGAGCAAACAGG